GGAGGUAUGGCUCAAGAAGCAGAGCAUCUCCCUAGCAAGAGCAGAGCCCUGAGUUCAAAUCCCAGUGCUACCA
rnacentral:tRNA from 1 species